CAAGCGGAACUUUCUGUUGAAAAAUGAAAACCGAGGCGAGCAGAUCAGUAGCAUGAUUAAUACGGCGCCGUUGAACUUAUUCUCUUUCAUAUCUAGUAAAACGCCAAUCUUGGCCAGCUCUCAGCUAACACCUUCUCUUCCUCUAAAUUUUCUACCCCCAAAAAAAAAAAAAUAAUAAAAAUAAAAAUAAAAAUAAAAUCACCUGGAAAAAAAUAUAUUUUUCUAUUAUUUCAAUCAAGUCCCUUUUCGCAAACCCUACUUUAUCAUUCAUAUCCCCGUCACAGGCAAAACGGUGUUGACCUAGAGAAAAGAAGUGGGAUUUUUUUUUCUCAAUCUGAUCCCUUAUAGUUGAAUUGUGCUCAAAAUAAUUUAAAAUGGCUGGGAGAAACCGCAUUCCUCGUGAAGCCUUCAAUGACCGGCGAGGAUUCCCUCCUGAAAGACCUUUCCUUCGUGGUCCUCCUCUGCCACAACCACCUCCUCAUCCUGUGUUGUUGGAGGAAGAACUUGAAAUGCAGCAUGUAGAAAUUCGUAGGCUUUUGACUGAUAACCGCAGGCUGGUGGAAGAUCGAAUGGCUAUACAACAAGAGCUUGCUGCUGCAAAGGAAGAAAUUCAUCGUUUAAACCUUGUCAUUGGUGAAAUUCGUGCAGAACAAGAACUGCACUCAAGGGGACUUAUUGAGAAAGGCUUGAAACUGGAGGCAGAUCUCCGUGCAACUGAGCCAUUGAAAAAAGAGGCUGUGCAACUCCGUGCAGAAGUUCAGAAACUGAAUAAUGUUAAGCAGGAGCUAACUGGCCAAGUUCAGACUAUCAAGCAAGAUGUUGCUAGGCUGCAAGCUGAUAAUCAACAGAUACCUAUUCUAAGAGCAGAAAUUGAUGGCCUGCACCAGGAGCUGAUGCAUGCAAGGACGGCUAUUGAUUUUGAAAAGAAGGCAAAUAUUGAGCUGAUGGAACAGAGACAAGCAAUGGAGAAGAACAUGGUCUCCAUGGCACGUGAAGUUGAAAAGCUACGUGCAGAACUUGCCAAUGUGGAUGGUAGACCAUGGGCUGCCGCUCCUGUUGGACCAUAUGGGAUGAAAUUCAACAGUUCAGAGGGAGCUUUUCCAGCCCCAUAUGAAGGAUAUGUGGCUCAUCUGGGUGUUGCUGACAAGGGUCCUUUUUAUGGUCCUGGUCCUGCUUCUUGGGAGAAGCCUCGCAUGACUCGUCGCUAGGAGAGUUAUUACUUGGUGGAAGAAAGGCAACAUUGUUGCUCCACUUAUGAAGUGCAAAAUAUUGAUCAGCGUGGAGUUCAUCAUCUAUGUGUGCAUGCCACAUCAGUUUUUAUCUUAAUACAUUAUGGGAAGCUGGUUUAUCUCAUGCAAAAAGGUAAAGAAAGAAGAUCAGGUAUAUCUUACAUGAGAUUGAGGAAAUAUGAAUGAGGUAAAGUUACAUGUGCUUCCGGAAAAACUUGGAAGAAGAUGAAAAAAUAAUCUUCUGUCUGCAUGCAGAGUCAAAUCCAGGGAGGCAGGCAGGGGUCAUGCCCCCCUCCCAUAAAAAACUUGAUAAUUCUAUAAUUCACUCUUCCAGUCCCUUAAUAUAAUACUUGCCCCCUCUUCUCAACUUGAUUCACUGUUUCGCACCCCCCUUUCAUUGGUUUGCUGGCUUCGUUCAUUGGUAUAUGUGCAUUUCUUAAAGUAGAUGCAGGGAACUUUGUUGUAUGAUUUUAUUUAGUUUAGGUGUGCUAUGCUGCGAAGGUGGUUGUAAGUAGUUAGGUGACACAAUGACAGCCAGUACUUUAUGUUCUGUAGUCAAAUGACCUCCAUCCCCAUUCCAUUUUGGGAUCUCCUGCAAUCUCUAGUGACUGCAGGUUUUGAUCACAAUUCCUUGGCAUGAUCAACCAAGGACGUUAUGCUUGUUUCACAGCCAGCAUUGCCAUAAAUGUGCUACUGUCUUGCUCAUCUCUGGUUAGAUGGAAUGUCCAACCAGCCUAGAACUGGCUAACAUCUCCGAACUUUAUUUUUUGGUGGUUUAUGUGUGAUAUAUUUCUGAAAAUUGUUUUUUCCAGGUUAUAACAUUUACGUAUGAGAAGAAAACUCACGUUCUAUUUUCAAAAAGAAAAUUUUUGCUGGCCACUAAUUACUAACAAGUAUUAAGUACAAGAUUGAAUGCCUGCGCUAGCUAAUUGGAUUUGUUAUAUAUUCUGGAAUGAAACUUUGUGUUCUUUGCGUGAUAUAAUGUUAGGUUAUAGCUAUUACGAAUUUCCCUUUUUCAAGUCUGUGUGUAAAACAGAUAUGAUCUCAUGCUCCACUUCCUUUUAUCAUGCAUAGUCUAUGUCACACCUAUCCUGGGUAAUUGGUGUCAUGUGUUGCUACUUUGAUUACUGAAGCUGAUGUAAUGCUGUAACUAGAGACUCUCUGCCCCUUUUCUCUGUAGUAUUGAGAUAGUCUUGUAAACAAUAGCCAUGAAUCUCUCUUGUUUAACUUAAAAUCAUACUGGUCAUUGGAAUGUGAAAAUCUUCUUUUAUAUAUAUAAAUAUAUAUAUAAGCCUAUAUUUAGAGUUACGGGUUUCCUUAUCUUGUUCAUUCAGUGUUUUAGUAGACAAAAAGGAAAGAUGAAGGCAGUUUUAUAAAGUAGAAUGUUGAAAUCAAAUUGUAAGUUUGAGGCAUAGUCUUCUAUUCCAUUUCUGAUUUUAUCACAAUAAUUCAACUUUUAAGACUUACACUGGGCGUCUAACUCCGGCGAUAUUUGGCUUGACAAUCUUUAAGCUUUUGAUUUACUCCCCACGUUAUUGUCAGGGAAAAGGCGUGAAGUAAUAACAGUGAUGUUGUCUGUUAUUAGAUUGAAUUUUAAUUUCAAUAAUUAUGUUUUAGUCAUGACAAUUUAC